rnacentral:rRNA from 1 species
UCCUACGGGGGGCAGCAGUGGGGAAUAUUGGGCAAUGGGCGCAAGCCUGACCCAGCAACGCCGCGUGAGUGAAGAAGUAUUUCGGUAUGUAAAGCUCUAUCAGCAGGGAAGAAAUACUGACCUUACGGUCAGCAGACGGUACCUGACUAAGAAGCCCCGGCUAACUACGUGCCAGCAGCCGCGGUAAUACGUAGGGGGCAAGCGUUAUCCGGAUUUACUGGGUGUAAAGGGAGCGUAGACGGCGAUGCAAGUCUGAAGUGAAAGGCGGGGGCCCAACCCCCGGACUGCUUUGGAAACUGUAUGGC